rnacentral:rRNA from 1 species
GACGAACGCUGGCGGCGUGCUUAACACAUGCAAGUCGUACGGUAAGGCCCUUUCGGGGGUACACGAGUGGCGAACGGGUGAGUAACACGUGAGUAACCUGCCCACAACUUUGGGAUAACGCUAGGAAACUGGUGCUAAUACUGGAUAUGUGCUCCUGCUGCAUGGUGGGGGUUGGAAAGCUCCGGCGGUUGUGGAUGGACUCGCGGCCUAUCAGCUUGUUGGUGGGGUAGUGGCCUACCAAGGCGGCGACGGGUAGCCGGCCUGAGAGGGUGACCGGCCACAUUGGGACUGAGAUACGGCCCAGACUCCUACGGGAGGCAGCAGUGGGGAAUAUUGCACAAUGGGCGCAAGCCGGAUGCAGCAACGCCGCGGGCGGGAGGACGGCCUUCGGGUUGUAAACCGCUUUCAGCAGGGACGAAGCUUUUUGUGACGGUACCUGCAGAAGAAGCACCGGCUAACUACGUG